rnacentral:lncRNA from 13 species
UUCACUAACUUUAUAUUAUAUAAAAUAUAUAUGAUUUAUUAGUUAUUUUCUUCUAAAACCCAUUCAGCCUACCACUGAAAUGGAAGAUCCUGUUGUGAGAGAAGCAGUACAAAGAAAGAAUGUACAGGCAUCAAGAGCAGGGUUGCAGAAUUACCAGCAAUCCUCUUCCUGCCACCCAGGGCAGGCCUGUCCGCAGCAGAAGGUCAUGAGGCUGGUCGACCUGUGAAAAUGAGCUGAGCUGAGCUGGGUCAGCUAAUGUUUAGAAUGAGAAGACAUUCAGCAGUCUUUAAAUAUUGUAAUGUGGUCCUUCAUCAGCUUUGAAGGUGAGACAAUUUUAAUUUUGGCUUCAAUAUUUUCUC